GCCGGGCGUGGUGGUGCACGCCUGUAAUCCUAGCUACCCAGGAGGCUGAGGCAGGAGAAUUGCUUGAACCCAGGAGGCAGAGGUUGCAGUGAGCUGAGAUCACGCCACUGCACUCCAGCCUGGGUUAGGGAGUGAGACUCCGUCUCAG
rnacentral:SRP_RNA from 1 species